rnacentral:lncRNA from 10 species
CUGUGGUUUGCGACCAGGGAAUCACGGAUUUCAGUGAAAGGGUCUGAGACCACAGCCAUAAGCUGUGAAAGCCAAGAGGACAGCUAAGGACUAAGGAAUUGACACUAAGCCCGAAUCUGGCAGAAGAGUCAAGCCCCAAAUCGUGACAUGCACACAGAAAAAAUAUGUGGGCCACUGGCUUAGGAAGACUGCGUUUUCAGGGGAAAUGACCCAUGGGUGAGCGCUGUGGCACAGACUUAAAAGACUAUGACACUUUCUUUUGGCCUCCAUCAUUUCUGAUAAGAAAUUCACUGUCUUUCAAAUUAUUUGCUCUCACAGGGGAAAAGAAUAUGCCACUCCAAAAAUAUGCUGCUUUGGCAUAAGAAUUAUUUAAGUUAAAGGCAAUUGAGAAAAAGCUCUCCACCUUCUCCUGUGUGCCUAAAAGCAGGACAUAACUUUUCCUUGUGAGGAAAGGGUCCGGCCUUAUACUUGGGAAGAAGAAAUGUCA